rnacentral:tRNA from 1 species
UCAUUUCUAGUUUAUAAGUGUGAGAAUGUUAGUUUGUCGUACUAAAGGUGAUUGUUUGGAUCGAA